rnacentral:rRNA from 1 species
GACGAACGCUGGCGGCGUGCUUAACACAUGCAAGUCGAACGGAAAGGCCCUGCUUUUGUGGGGUGCUCGAGUGGCGAACGGGUGAGUAACACGUGAGUAACCUGCCCUUGACUUUGGGAUAACUUCAGGAAACUGGGGCUAAUACCGGAUAGGAGCUCCUGCUGCAUGGUGGGGGUUGGAAAGUUUCGGCGGUUGGGGAUGGACUCGCGGCUUAUCAGCUUGUUGGUGGGGUAGUGGCUUACCAAGGCUUUGACGGGUAGCCGGCCUGAGAGGGUGACCGGCCACAUUGGGACUGAGGUACGGCCCAGACGCCUACGGGAGGCAGCAGUGGGGAAUAUUGCACAAUGGGCGGAAGCCGGAUGCAGCAACGCCGCGUGCGGGAUGACGGCCUUCGGGUUGUAAACCGCUUUCGCCUGUGACGAAGCGUGAGUGACGGUAAUGGGUAAAGAAGCACCGGCUAACUACGUG